rnacentral:rRNA from 1 species
CCUACGGGAGGCAGCAGUAGGGAAUAUUGGGCAAUGGAGGCAACUCUGACCCAGCCAUGCCGCGUGCAGGAAGAAGGCGUUAUGCGUUGUAAACUGCUUUUAUAUAGGAAGAAAUAGACCUUGCGAGGUAAGUUGACGGUACUAUAUGAAUAAGCACCGGCUAACUCCGUGCCAGCAGCCGCGGUAAUACGGAGGGUGCAAGCGUUGUCCGGAUUUAUUGGGUUUAAAGGGUGCGUAGGCGGUUUAUUAAGUCAGUGGUGAAAGACGGUCGCUCAACGAUUGCAGUGCCAUUGAUACUGGUAGACUUGAGUGGGAUUGAGGUAGCUGGAAUGGAUAGUGUAGCGGUGAAAUGCAUAGAUAUUAUCCAGAACACCAAUUGCGUAGGCAAGUUACUAAGUCUCAACUGACGCUGAGGCACGAAAGUGUGGGUAUCAAACAGGGUUAGAUACCCUGGUAGUCCACACUGUAAACGAUGAUAACUAACUGUUGGCUUUCGAGUCAGUGGUACAGAGAAAUCGUUAAGUUAUCCACCUGGGGAGUACGCCGGCAACGGUGAAACUCAAAUGAAAUUGACGG